GCCCGUCUAGCUCAGUCGGUAGAGCGCAUUUUUUUUUUCCUUGUGGUCGUGGGUUCGAGCCCCACGGUGGGCG
rnacentral:tRNA from 1 species